AUGGCUCGCCUUUCGCGGCUCUACCUCCUCGCCUACAACUCCCUGCAGGCCAUCGGAUGGUCCGUCGCCCUGCUCCGUCUCCUCCCCUGCCUCGCCCCUCCCGUCUCCGUCCGCCCCGCGUACGCCGCCGCCGGCGACCUCAUAUGCUUUCUGCAGACCUGCGCGGUUCUUGAGACCGUCCAUGCCGCCGUCGGAUUGGUACCCACCUCGCCGUUUCUUGUUUUCCUGCAAUGGGGAGGGAGGACACACUUCAUCCUCGCCCUUCUCCGGCAAACCCCUGAGGUUCAGGGCAGUCCCUCUGUGUUAAUAACGUUUAUGGCUUGGAGCAUAUCUGAGGUCAUUCGAUACUCUCACUAUGCUCUGACUACGUUAAAAGUUUGUCCAGCAUGGCUGACUUACCUCAGUGUGCCUACAAAGACACUUUUCCUUAAUCUUGUAAUCCACUGUUGUGCUCUACUCUCCUUGCCAUGUCUGCAUGCAAUGUGGACUAUGUACCAAGCUCUUCCAUUUGUAAAGGAGAGGGACCUCUACUCAGGCUUCUUUGCAAAGUUCUCCAUGAGCUACCAUUCUUUUCUGGUGGGUGUGCUGCUGUGCUAUCCACUGCUGUGGCUGAAGCUGUACCUGCAUGUGUUCAAGCAGCGCAAGUCCAAGCUGGGAAAGGUGGACAAGAAGAAACGGGCAUGA
rnacentral:rRNA from 1 species